AUCUUGCUCUGACCUUCUCUUCCUGCUCAAACUCUCUUCUGUCUCCGUCGACAACUCCAAGGAAGAACUAUCUCGCAAUUCUUGCUUUGCUUGGAGCACAGCAUUCAAAUUGCUAGACUGGAAAUUAAGAAAUGUUGGUGUUGGUGAGGUUUCUAGGCCAAUUCCAGGAAACAAACUUCUGCGUUGUUGCAUCGAAAAGUUUGGAUUAAAGCUAGCCGAUCUUAGUUGAGAAGGGACUGACAUACUGGAGCCUGAGCUACGUAGAGAUAUGUUAAGGGAGGUAAAAUUCGCAGGGAUUGUGCCGGUGCCCGUGGCGGCGAUCACUGCUGGUUCUGCCUGUUGAAGCAACCACUCGAUGGUUUCACCAUCUGAUUUGUGACCCAGUUCACGAGUUAGCUGGAAAACCCUAGCAGCGCAAAGAGCAGGCAUGCGAAUUCUGCGGCCACGUCCAUCGACCUUUGUAUGACGAUCUUUAGUGGAUGUUCGUUUAGGAGGAGGUUUCUUGGAGGGUUCUGGUACAAUUUGGAGACUGGAAGUGGAACGGUUCAAGCUACUAUUGGUGUUAUUAUUAUUGUUGUUCGGUUCAGUAGUGGAGAUAGGGAGAGAAGAAGGAUAAGGAGAGGAGGAGGAGCAAGGCUCGUCUUCU
rnacentral:lncRNA from 1 species